GAUGAACGCUAGCGACAGGCUUAACACAUGCAAGUCGAGGGGCAGCACGUUAUGGUGGCGACCGGCGCACGGGUGAGUAACACGUAUGCAACCUGCCCGUAACAGAGGGACAGCCCUGAGAAAUCGGGAUUAAUACCUCGUAAAACGGAAAUGCCGCAUGGCAUUUUUUGUUAAAGAUACUAUCGGUUACGGAUGGGCAUGCGGCGGAUUAGGCAGUUGGUAGAGGUAACGGCUCACCAAACCGACGAUCCGUAGGGGAACCGAGAGGUUGGCCCCCCACACCGGUACUGAGACAGGGACCGGACUCCUACGGGAGGCAGCAGUGAGGAAUAUUGGUCAAUGGUCGUUAGACUGAACCGGCCAAGUCGCGUGAAGGAGGAGGGUACUAAGUAUCGUAAACUUCUUUUGUGAGGGAAUAAAAGAGACCAUGUAUGGUUUAUUGCAAGUACUUUACGAAUAAGCAUCGGCUAACUCCGUGCCAGCAGCCGCGGUAAUACGGAGGAUGCGAGCGUUAUCCGGAUUUAUUGGGUUUAAAGGGUGCGUAGGUUGUUUUGUAAGUCAGCGGUGAAAUCUUUCCGCUUAACGGGAACAUUGCCGUUGAAACUGCGGGACUUGAGGACGUACAAGGUAUGCGGAAUUCGUAGUGUAGCGGUGAAAUGCAUAGAUAUUACGAAGAACUCCGAUAGCGUAGGCAGCAUACCGGAUCGUAUCUGACACUGAAGCACGAAAGUGCGGGAAUCAAACAGGAUUAGAUACCCUGGUAGUCCGCACGGUAAACGAUGAAUACUGACUGUUUGCGAUAUAGUGUAAGCGGUUAAGCGAAAGCGUUAAGUAUUCCACCUGGGGAGUACGCCGGCAACGGUGAAACUCAAAGGAAUUGACGGGGGCCCGCACAAGCGGAGGAACAUGUGGUUUAAUUCGAUGAUACGCGAGGAACCUUACCCGGGCUCGAACGGCCGUUGAAUAUGUAUGAAAGUAUAUAGUCGCAAGACAACGGUCGAGGUGCUGCAUGGUUGUCGUCAGCUCGUGCCGUGAGGUGUCGGCUUAAGUGCCAUAACGAGCGCAACCCUUACCGUCAGUUACCAGCACGUCGUGGUGGGCACUCUGUCGGGACUGCCACCGUAAGGUGCGAGGAAGGGGGGGAUGACGUCAAAUCAGCACGGCCCUUAUGUCCGGGGCGACACACGUGUUACAAUGGGAGGGACAAAAGGCCGCUACCCGGCGACGGGAUGCCAAUCCCCAAACCCUCUCCCGGUUCGGAUCGGAGUCUGCAACCCGACUCCGUGAAGCCGGAUUCGCUAGUAAUCGCGCAUCAGCCAUGGCGCGGUGAAUACGUUCCCGGGCCUUGUACACACCGCCCGUCAAGCCAUGGGAGUCGGGAGUACCUGAAGUACGUAACCGCGAGGAGCGUCCCAGGGUAAAACCGGUGACCGGGGCU
rnacentral:rRNA from 1 species